UACGGAGGGUGCGAGCGUUGUCCGGAAUUACUGGGCGUAAAGCGCACGUAGGCGGAUAUUUAAGUCAGGGGUGAAAUCCCGGGGCUCAACCCUGGAACUGCCUUUGAUACUGGGUAUCUAGAGUCCAGAAGAGGUGAGUGGAAUUCCGAGUGUAGAGGUGAAAUUCGUAGAUAUUCGGAGGAACACCAGUGGCGAAGGCGGCUCACUGGUCUGGUACUGACGCUGAGGUGCGAAAGCGUGGGGAGCAAACAGG
rnacentral:rRNA from 1 species